rnacentral:tRNA from 1 species
GACCGCGUAGCUCAGUUGGCCGAGUAUUAGGCUAGCAUUCCAAAGGUCGUAGGUUCGAUUCCCACCGUGGUCA